rnacentral:rRNA from 1 species
UGGGGAAUAUUGCACAAUGGGGGAAACCCUGAUGCAGCGACGUCGCGUGAAGGAAGAAGUAUCUCGGUAUGUAAACUUCUAUCAGCAGGGAAGAUAAUGACGGUACCUGACUAAGAAGCCCCGGCUAACUACGUGCCAGCAGCCGCGGUAAUACGUAGGGGGCAAGCGUUAUCCGGAUUUACUGGGUGUAAAGGGAGCGUAGACAGCGCAGCAAGUCUGAUGUGAAAGGCAGGGGCUUAACCCCUGGACUGCAUUGGAAACUGCUGUGCUUGAGUGCCGGAGGGGUAAGCGGAAUUCCUAGUGUAGCGGUGAAAUGCGUAGAUAUUAGGAGGAACACCAGUGGCGAAGGCGGCUUACUGGACGGUAACUGACGUUGAGGCUCGAAAGCGUGGGGAGCAAACAGG